AUUGAACGCUGGCGGCAGGCUUAACACAUGCAAGUCGAGCGGGGUGAUGUAGCUUGCUACAUUACCUAGCGGCGGACGGGUGAGUAAUGCUUAGGAAUCUGCCUAUUAGUGGGGGACAACAUUCCGAAAGGAAUGCUAAUACCGCAUACGCCCUACGGGGGAAAGCAGGGGAUCUUCGGACCUUGCGCUAAUAGAUGAGCCUAAGUCAGAUUAGCUAGUUGGUGGGGUAAAGGCCUACCAAGGCGACGAUCUGUAGCGGGUCUGAGAGGAUGAUCCGCCACACUGGGACUGAGACACGGCCCAGACUCCUACGGGAGGCAGCAGUGGGGAAUAUUGGACAAUGGGCGGAAGCCUGAUCCAGCCAUGCCGCGUGUGUGAAGGAGGCCUUUUGGUUGUAAAGCACUUUAAGCGAGGAGGAGGCUACCUAGAUUAAUACUCUGGGAUAGUGGACGUUACUCGCAGAAUAAGCACCGGCUAACUCUGUGCCAGCAGCCGCCGUAACAC
rnacentral:rRNA from 1 species